UACGUAGGGGGCAAGCGUUGUCCGGAAUCAUUGGGCGUAAAGCGCGUGUAGGCGGUUUGGUAAGUCGGCUGUGAAAGUCCAGGGCUCAACCCUGGGAUGCCGGUCGAUACUGCCGGACUAGAGUUCGGAAGAGGCGAGUGGAAUUCCCGGUGUAGCGGUGAAAUGCGCAGAUAUCGGGAGGAACACCAAUGGCGAAGGCAGCUCGCUGGGACGUUACUGACGCUGAGACGCGAAAGCGUGGGGAGCAAACAGG
rnacentral:rRNA from 1 species